GACAGAGGGUGCAAACGUUGUUCGGAAUUACUGGGCGUAAAGCGCGUGUAGGCGGCUAAGUAAGUCGGGCGUGAAAUCCCACGGCUCAACCGUGGAAGUGCACUCGAAACUGCAUAGCUAGAGUCCUGGAGAGGAAGGUGGAAUGCUUGGUGUAGAGGUGAAAUUCGUAGAUAUCAAGCGGAACACCGGUGGCGAAGGCGGCCUUCUGGACAGUGACUGGCGCUGAGACGCGAAAGCGUGGGGAGCAAACAGG
rnacentral:rRNA from 1 species